GUCACUGCUAUUGGGAUUCGACUAAGCCAUGCGAGUCGAGAGGGUUCGGCCCUCGGCUGACGGCUCAGUAACACGUGGAUAAUCUGCCCUUAGGUGGAGGAUAAUCUCGGGAAACUGAGGAUAAUACUCCAUAGAUCUAGGAUGCUGGAAUGCAUUUAGAUUGAAAGCUCCGGCGCCUAAGGAUGAGUCUGCGGACUAUCAGGUUGUAGUCAGGGUAAAGACCUGACUAGCCUACGACGGAUACGGGUUGUGAGAGCAAUAACCCGGAGACGAUAUCUGAGACACGAUAUCGGGCCCUACGGGGCGCAGCAGGCGCGAAAACUUCACACUGUGCGAAAGCGCGAUGAGGGAAUCCCAAGUGUUUGCUCGUAAGAGUAAACUGUUUCUUUGUUUAAAACGCAGAGAGAGUAAGGGCUGGGUAAGACGGGUGCCAGCCGCCGCGGUAAUACCUGCAGCUCAAGUGGUGAUCAUUAUUAUUGGGCCUAAAACGUCCGUAGCCGGUUUAGUAAAUGCCUGGGUAAAUCGUGUAGCUUAACUAUACGACUUCCGGGUAGACUGCUAAACUUGAGACCGGGAGAGGCUAGAGGUACUCCUGGGUAGAGGUGAAAUUCUGUAAUCCUAGGGGGACCACCAGUGGCGAAGGCGUCUAGCUAGAACGGGUCUGACGGUGAGGGACGAAGCCCUGGGGCACAAACCGGAUUAGAUACCCGGGUAGUCCAGGGUGUAAACGCUGCUUGCUUGAUGUUAGUUGGGCUCCGAGCCCAACUAGUGUCGGAGAGAAGUUGUUAAGCAAGCUGCCUGGGAA
rnacentral:rRNA from 1 species